rnacentral:misc_RNA from 1 species
AGCAGCCGCGGUAAUUCCAGCUCCAAUAGCGUAUAUUAAAGUUGUUGCAGUUAAAAGCUCGUAGUUGAAUUUCGGGAUCAAGUCGUCGGUCGUGCUCAAGUACGUACUGGCGUCAUUGAUUUCUCCCUUCUGACGAACCAUGAUGUCAUUAAUUUGGUGUUAUGGGAAAUCAGGACUGUUACUUUGAAAAAUUGAGUGUUUAAAGCAGGCUCACGCUUGAAUACAUUAGCAUGGAAUAAUGAAAUAGGACGUUCGAUCCUAUUUUGUUGGUUUUAGGAUCAACGUAAUGAUUAAUAGGGAUAGUUGGGGGCAUUAGUAUUCAAUUGUCAGAGGUGAAAUUCUUGGAUUUAUUGAAGAC